rnacentral:rRNA from 1 species
UACGUAGGGACCAAGCGUUGUCCGGAAUCAUUGGGCGUAAAGCGCGCGUAGGCGGCCCGGUAAGUCCGUUGUAAAAGUCGAAGGCUCAACCUUCGAAAGCCGAUGGAUACUGCCGGGCUAGAGUACGGAAGAGGCGAGUAGAAUUCCUGGUGUAGCGGUGGAAUGCGCAGAUAUCAGGAGGAAUACCCAUAGCGAAGGCAGCUCGCUGGGACGUUACUGACGCUGAGGCGCGAAAGCGUGGGGA